rnacentral:rRNA from 1 species
UACAGAGGUCUCAAGCGUUGUUCGGAUUCAUUGGGCGUAAAGCGCGCGCAGGCGGCUCGGCAAGUCGGGUGUGAAAACUCGGGGCUCAACCCCGGGCGUGCAUCCGAUACUGCCGGGCUUGAGGCAGGUAGGGGAGAUCGGAAUUCCUGGUGUAGCGGUGAAAUGCGCAGAUAUCAGGAGGAACACCGGUGGCGAAGGCGGAUCUCUGGGCCUGUCCUGACGCUGAGGCGCGAAAGCUAGGGGAGCGAACAGG